CCUACGGGAGGCUGCAGUGGGGAAUAUUGGGCAAUGGGCGCAAGCCUGACCCAGCAACGCCGCGUGAAGGAAGAAGGCUUUCGGGUUGUAAACUUCUUUUAAGAGGGAAGAGCAGAAGACGGUACCUCUUGAAUAAGCCACGGCUAACUACGUGCCAGCAGCCGCGGUAAUACGUAGGUGGCAAGCGUUGUCCGGAUUUACUGGGGGUAAAGGGCGUGCAGCCGGGAAGACAAGUCAGAUGUGAAAUCCCGCGGCUCAACCGCGGAACUGCAUUUGAAACUGUUUUUCUUGAGUACCGGAGAGGUCAUCGGAAUUCCUUGUGUAGCGGUGAAAUGCGUAGAUAUAAGGAAGAACACCAGUGGCGAAGGCGGAUGACUGGACGGCAACUGACGGUGAGGCGCGAAAGCGUGGGGAGCAAACAGGAUUAGAUACCCUGGUAGUC
rnacentral:rRNA from 1 species